UACGGGGGAGCAAGCGUUGUUCGGAUUUACUGGGCGUAAAGGGCGCGUAGGCGGCCACUGCAAGUCGGUUGUGAAAUCUCCGGGCUUAAACCCGGAAAGGUCAAUCGAUACUGCAGGGCUAAGAGUGCAGAAGGGGCAACUGGAAUUCUCGGGAUGUAGCGGUGGAAAAUGCGUAGAUAUCGAGAGGAACACCUGCGGCGAAGGCGGGUUGCUGGGCUGACACUGACGCUGAAGCGCGAAAGCUAGGGGAGCGAACGGG
rnacentral:rRNA from 1 species